rnacentral:rRNA from 1 species
AUCUAUGACUAUACCACCCUGAAUGUGCCCUAUCUUGUCUGAUCUUGGAAGCUAAGCAGGGUCGGGCCUGGUUAGUACUUGGAUGGGAGGUCAGUGUUUUAAAGC